rnacentral:rRNA from 1 species
AGUGAACGCUGGCGGUAGGCCUAACACAUGCAAGUCGAACGGCAGCACGGUAAGAGCUUGCUCUUACGGGUGGCGAGUGGCGGACGGGUGAGGAAUACAUCGGAAUCUACUUUUUCGUGGGGGAUAACGUAGGGAAACUUACGCUAAUACCGCAUACGACCUACGGGUGAAAGCAGGGGAUCUUCGGACCUUGCGCGAUUGAAUGAGCCGAUGUCGGAUUAGCUAGUUGGCGGGGUAAAGGCCCACCAAGGCGACGAUCCGUAGCUGGUCUGAGAGGAUGAUCAGCCACACUGGAACUGAGACACGGUCCAGACUACUACGGGAGGCAGCAGUGGGGAAUAUUGGACAAUGGGCGCAAGCCUGAUCCAGCCAUACCGCGUGGGUGAAGAAGGCCUUCGGGUUGUAAAGCCCUUUUGUUGGGAAAGAAAAGCAGCAGGUUAAUACCCCGCUGUUCUGACGGUACCCAAAGAAUAAGCACCGGCUAACUUCGUG